ACUAGCCUAUCUGGUUAAAUAAAGGUGUUCUCAACUAGUCUACCUGGUUAAAUAAAGGUGUUCUCAACUAGCCUAUCUGGUUAAAUAAAGGUGUUCUCAACUAGCCUAUCUGGUUAAAUAAAGGUGUUCUCAACUAGUCUACCUGGUUAAAUAAAGGUGUUCUCAACUAGCCUACCUGGUUAAAUAAAGGUGUUCUCAACUAGCCUACCUGGUUAAAUAAAGGUGUUCUCAACUAGCCUAUCUGGUUAAAUAAAGGUGUUCUCAACUAGCCUACCUGGUUAAAUAAAGGUGUUCUCAACUAGCCUAUCUGGUUAAAUAAAGGUGUUCUCAACUAGCCUAUCUGGUUAAAUAAAGGUGUUCUCAACUAGCCUACCUGGUUAAAUAAAGGUGUUCUCAACUAGCCUACCUGGUUAAAUAAAGGUGUUCUCAACUAGCCUACCUGGUUAAAUAAAGGUGUUCUCAACUAGCCUACCUGGUUAAAUAAAGGUGUUCUCAACUAGCCUACCUGGUUAAAUAAAGGUGUUCUCAACUAGCCUAUCUGGUUAAAUAAAGGUGUUCUCAACUAGCCUACCUGGUUAAAUAAAGGUGUUCUCAACUAGCCUACCUGGUUAAAUAAAGGUGUUCUCAACUAGCCUACCUGGUUAAAUAAAGGUGUUCUCAAC